rnacentral:misc_RNA from 1 species
CCGUUUCAUAUUAAUAAAGUUAAUGACAUGAAUUAAAGACAUAAUCAUGAAAUCCAUAAAUAUAAUGUAAAGUGUAUGGAUAAAUACAAUGUAAAGUGUGUAGAAAAAUUCAUAGUGCUCGAUAAGAAUAUCCAUAAACAAGAAGGAAGCUAUAAAUCAUCCAAAUGAUCAUCAGCAGCGGCAUCUCUUGUAGGUGGAUCCUACUCCAUUGGCUGUGAGGGUUGUGAGAAUCGAGACUGCAUCUGCCUCAUCAUCUCUUGCAUCUGUCUUAGUUGGUCUUACAUAAGGCGCUCACGCUGCUCCUCCCUCUCUUGCAUCAUGUGCUCACCGUCCUUGUCUCUCUGCUAUAAGAUCUCAACUGUCUAUCGUAGUUGACAUAGCUCCUCUUUAACAGCCGGUGCUGGCAUGUGGGAUGUAGUAAAAGAUGAUGCACCAGCUUAUUGGGGGUAGAAAAUAGAUGCCUGUAAUCUAACUCCAUAAACCCGUCAUUUCUUCUCACCUCCAACAACCUUGAUGGAUUGUGCCCGUGCAUCAACGAGCUCUGAAGUGCCCUUCCUCGUAUGGAUUGUCUCGAAAAGCUUGUGGGGGAGAGGAUCUCGGCUGAGCUUACCUCACUGAAAAAUACAUCAAAUUGAAUAAUGUAAGUAGGACCUAUAUGAAAUUUCUAUUGAUCUACAUAUAGGUGCAAUACAUAUAGAAAUACAGAGAUUUAUACUGGCCAAUCUCUCUGCGUGUUACACAUGGGAAAUUGAGCCCCCCGUGUGGUGAGAUAUGUCAGAUUCGGGUCCUCUAGUCUUACAACGGUGAUUUGCUAUGAAUUGCUCACUACGAGCUUUGAAGUCAGGUGUACGCCAGGUCUCUUUCCACUUACACCAUGCUGCAUCAGGCACGAAAAGGGCUUCUAUGCCAACUUCCUUUAAUGGCACAUAAAUGCUUAGCAGCCUUGUUCUCCCAAGCAAUCUUCACAAGGGAUGUCAUUAUCUCAUCCCAAGUGAAGUUUUUCUGAAACUCGGUCUAGUGAAAGUCUUUCAUCUCAUUCGAGAUAGUUUUCCAACAAUAGUCUUCCACGUCCAACUUUUCCUUGAUGAUGGACAUGAUUUUCCUUAAACAAAUGUAAGAAAGAUGCAACUGCUUGUGACUCUGAAACCCACUGGCUCGAGUCAACUGGUUAAGGCUGUUAUAUCUUCGACUGUCUCUAACCCUAAAAUAGAGAAAGGGCAAGCCUGAAUGAGCGUGAGAGAGAAAGAAAAAAAAUACCCAAAAGUGUGAUUGACCUUUAGAAUAGCUCCAAAGUGAAUUUGGGUGACUGAGGGACUUUGCGCCGAUGUUCAGAGAAAGGGACUUUAGAAUAGUUUGAGAAAGAGAGCAAGAGAAAGAGACAGAGCAAGAGUGACUGAGGAAGGUGUGAGGGAAAAUGAAUUCGAGUGGAAGAGGAAAAUGAAUUAGGGUUUCAAGACAGAGAAAGAAGGAAGAACAAAAUCACAGAAUAGAAACGGACACUUAAAUCUAUUUCAAAAAAAUGAAAUGGAAUAACUCUCUGUUUCUAACGUUAGAGAAACUCAACUAAUUACAAACGAAAAAAAAUACUCCGUUUCAAAGUUUUAAAACGGAGCACUAUUUCGUUUCUAAUCAUCUUCGAUACAAUAUGAACAAUACUUCUUGUAUA